rnacentral:rRNA from 1 species
UACGUAGGGCGCAAGCAUUGUCCGGAAUUAUUGGGCGUAAAGAGCUCGUAGGCGGUCUGUCGCGUCGGAUGUGAAAGCCCGGGGCUUAACCCCGGGUCUGCAUUCGAUACGGGCAGACUAGAGUGUGGUAGGGGAGAUCGGAAUCCCUGGUGUAGCGGUGAAAUGCGCAGAUAUCAGGAGGAACACCGGUGGCGAAGGCGGAUCUCUGGGCCAUUACUGACGCUGAGGAGCGAAAGCGUGGGGAGCGAACAGG